AACCUAUUCUCAAACUUUAAAUAGGUAAGAAGCCCGGCGAUGCUUGAGUGAUCCCGGGCCUCGAAUGGAAUGUUCUUAGUGGGCCAUUUUUGGUAAGCAGAACUGGCGAUGCGGGAUGAACCGGACGUCGAGUUAAGGUGCCGGACUGUUCGCUCAUCUAGAUACCACAAAAGGUGUUGGUUCAUUUAGACAGCAGGACGGUGGUCAUGGAAGUCGAAAUCCGCUAAGGAGUGUGUAACAACUCACCUGCCGAAUGAACUAGCCCUGAAAAUGGAUGGCGCUGAAGCGAACGACCUAAACUCGACCGCCAGGGCAAAUGCGAGGCGCUGGCGAGUAGGAGGGCGUGGUGCUCGGUGACGCAGGUUGGGCCGUGAGGCCGACUGAAACGGGCACUAGUGCAGAUCUUGGUGGUAGUAGC
rnacentral:rRNA from 1 species